CCCGGGUGCCCCGCGCCCCCGCCCCCUCCCCAGCGGGUCCCCAGGACCCCCUCCCUCGCCCCGAUCCGGCGGUGAAGGGGUGGGCAGGGAAACGCGCUCUCUGGGACAGGUGCCAACUCCGAGACAAAAGACAUAAAAUAGGCGGCAACGGGGGAAGCGCGGCCGGCGCGCUCGGGCGGGGACGGUGGCGCCGAGGGGCCGCAUCCUCGGUGCGGACUCCGGAAAGUUUGGGAAGUGGCCGGGGCCGCUCCGCCACGGCGGGGGACGCGGGCCCCGCCGCCCUCCGCGCCGCUGCUGAAUAAUUCAUGGCGCGGCCGCCGGCCAUUAGCAUGCACCGGGCGCGCGGCGCGUCUGUGCCCAGCGCCGCCGCCUCGGGCGCCCGGGCAGCAGACUAUCGGCCGGGCCCGCGCCCCCCGGGCCCGCCCCUCGCGCCCAUUGUGCCCGGCCCGCGCCCCGAGCUCGCCCGCACCCACCCGACGGCCAUGUCUCGGUCCCGGCACGCGGCCGCCCGGGUGCACGCGAACUUGGAGAAAGUCGAGGGGCGCGCGGGUCUGGCCCUCCGCGGCAGGGCGUGGGCGCCUGCGGGCCGGCGCGCUUUCGUUUUCGUCUGGGACAAAGGUCCCUGGCGGCGCCGGGCGCGGAUGCGGGGACCGGAGGCUGCAGGCCCCCGGAGGCACGGAGCGCGCGGUGCCGAAUCCCCGGCCUGGAGACGGGUGCGCUCGCGGGCGGCCGUGCCCGGAGUUGCGGGAUCCGCGUCGCGCUGCACCCCGCCGUCCCCAUGCAGGAGGCAGCGAGCGCCGGGCACCGGGACGCGGCUGGUGGCCGAGGGCCUGUGCGGCGUGGGCACGUGAGCGAAGCGCCGGCCCCGGCGAGGGCACCACCGAAGACCCGUACGCCGCGGGCACGAUCGGCUUCCAGGCGACUCCGGAGAGCGGUAGGCCUUUCGAAGUCGUGAGGGCACCGAAGGAGGUUGUCCCGGAACCUGAAGCCCCACCAGCCUGCAAGAACUCCGAGGUCGUCCUCAAUCCGGAACUUGGAAUUUGUGAAAUACUGCAGCUUCCAGGCUCAGAUGGGCUGGUCCGUCAUCACGCCUGCCUGGCACUUGUUGGAACACACAGCGUAUUUCCAUUGUGGAGUCGACAAUUUCGAAGAACUGAGGUCAGAAUAAACAAGUUGCAUUCGUGUGUAGAAACAGACUUAUUCAAUGAUCUUCUCACCCGCUGGAAAAUUUGGUAGAGUGACCACCAUCACCUUCGUUAAAGUUUCAUUUAAUUUUUGG
rnacentral:lncRNA from 1 species